rnacentral:rRNA from 1 species
UGCCAGCCGCCGCGGUAAUACGGGGGGAGCAAACGUUGUUCGGAAUCACUGGGCGUAAAGGGCGCGUAGGCGGCCCGACAAGUGGUGUGUGAAAUGCCCUGGCUCAACCAGGGAACUGCGCCCCAAACUGUCGGGCUUGAGGUCAGUAGAGGAAGCUGGAAUUCCAGGUGUAGCGGUGAAAUGCGUAGAUAUCUGGAGGAACACCGUUGGCGAAGGCGAGCUUCUGGGCUGCACCUGACGCUGAGGCGCGAAAGCUGGGGGAGCAAACAGGAUUAGAUA